rnacentral:rRNA from 1 species
GAUGAACGCUGACAGAAUGCUUAACACAUGCAAGUCGAUGGGGAAGUGGUGCUUGCACCAUGGCAACCAUGGCGGACGGGUGAGUAACGCGUAAGGGACUUACCUGCAGGACUGGGAUAACAGGGGGAAACUCCUGACAAGACCGGAUAAUGUCAUGGAGCUGCAUGGCUUUAUGAUGAAAGGAGACGCCUGCGGAGAGCCUUGCGUCCUAUUAGCUAGUUGGUGAGGUAAUGGCUCACCACGGCGAAGAUAGGUAGCCGGCCUGAGAGGGUGGACGGCCACGAGGGGACUGAGAUACGGCCCUUACUCCUACGGGAGGCAGCAGUGGGGAAUAUUGGACAAUGGGGGCAACCCUGAUCCAGCAAUUCUGUGUGCACGAAGAAGGUUUUCGGAUUGUAAAGUGCUUUCAGCAGGGAAGAAGUAAGUGACGGUACCUGCAGAAGAAGCGACGGCUAAAUACGUG